rnacentral:rRNA from 1 species
GAUUAACGCUGGCGGCGUGCAUAACACAUGCAAGUCGAACGAUGAAACUCAUUAGAUUUCUUCGGAAUGAAAAUGAAUGGAUUAGUGGCGAACGGGUGAGUAACGCGUGAGUAACCUGCCUUACACAAGGGGAUAGCCUCUGGACACGGAGCAUAAUACCCUAUGAAACCAGACAAUCGCAUGAUAAUCUGGUCAAAAUGUUUAGUGGUGUAAGAUGGACUUGCGUCUGAUUAGCUAGUUGGUGAGAUAAAAGCUCACCAAGGCAACGAUCAGUAGCCGGCUGGAGAGAGUGUACGGCGAGAUUGAGACUGAGACACGGCCCAGACUGCUACGGGAGGCAGCAGUGGGGAAAUUUGCACAAUGAGGGAAACCCUGAUGCAGCGAGGCCGCGAGAUUGAGAAGGCCGUCGGGUUGUAAAAAUCUUUUGUAUAGGAAGAAAAUGACAGUACUAUACGAAUAAGGUCCGGCUAAUUACGUG